UGUGACAUACUGUUUGGCUCCUAUGGACCCUCUGAUGAUAUGUCAGGAGGAGGAUCAUCUGUUUCCGGACCACAGUUUACCACAGGUGAAAGAUGGCAUACUUCAACUGCAUUUGGGGAAGACACAAGGCAUGCUGAAUAUACAGGUGUAUAUCAGAGAUGAGGAGAAUUCUGAGCCUCGUUUGUGGCAAUUCUACCAGAAGGGGACUGCAUGGCACCACCACAGAUUUCAUAAAUUACCCUGAACAUACUCAGUUAUUCACUAUUUGUUCGGAGCAAAGCAUGAAAUAGUCUUCAAACACAUGAAUUACAGAUUUUGAGAGAGUGACAUUGUUUAAACAUAAAGUGCAACAGUGCUGAAGUUUUCA